rnacentral:tRNA from 1 species
UCUUUGGUGGUCCAGUGGUUAAGACUCUAUUCUUCCAAAGCAGGGGGCACAGGUUCGAUCCCUGGUUGGGGAA